CUCACUCAAUAUGGCCUCAGCUUAAUGAAAGACAUCUGCAGAGACCCUAUUUCUACUAAAAGCCACAUUCUGAGACUUCUCGUGGGCGUGAGUUUUUGAGAGACACUGUUCUGCUCCAUGCAGGGAGGGAAUUGGGAUCUGAAGACGUUGCAUUCGAGGUCUCGGGGCUCCUGAUGAGCAGCCUCGGCCUGACCUGGGGCAGGUGUGAUGUCUGCGGCUCACCAUCUCCACCCUGCCUGCUGUGGAAUCUCCACAACGACAGGUGCUUUGGAGGCCAGAGUGCAUGCGUACGGGCCCUGCACACGCUGAAUGUCACUGGGAACAAGGACACACCCCGCUUCCAGGAGAAGAUAGAACAUGUCGACCCCUUUUAGCCAUCCCCAGUGCAGGACAUGCUAUUGACUUCCAUGAGACAAACACCUACUUGGAAAUCAGGUUUUUUCUGUACCUUUUGAAGGAGCAGGAAUUUCCCAGCAUUUCCUGGACAAAGACGGAGAGGAUGGCCAGAAGCAGACCCAGGAGGAGCUUCGGAACUGCACGGGGCAGGUGCAGCCUGGGGGUGGCACGGACCACAGAACACAAGAGGCAUCCAGGAGUCAGAUGCAGCAGAUAGAGGCCGCGUGCCUCACCGCCUGUGAAAUGCAGGGAGAGGAGGAUGUUUAUGUCACUGAGCCCAUCGGGCACAGCAUGGAAAAGAGAAUUCUGGUCCUUUUCCCCUGGGAUUGAGGUCUCCUGGGCUCAGUCUGCAGUGGGAAACCCGGCCACAUUCGCUGCAUCCUUUCCAGCAA
ensembl:lncRNA SCAT1 S-phase cancer associated transcript 1